GAUCGUCUCUUUCGAUAUAACGGAAAAUAAAUUCUGAUUUCUUCGGAUUUUCUUUUCCUUCAAUCAGAAUCUUUUGCUAUCUUUUGUUAUCGAUUCCUUCUAACGGAAUCUCUUACUAAUCCUUAGUGGAGUGAAAGAUUUAUUAUGUUUAGAAGAAUCUUAAGUCUUUUUAAAACAGAAUAAUUGAUUUCUGGUUGUUUGGAUGUUUUUGUCCUUUCUCCUCUGCAUAUAGAUUCCUCUUAUAAUUGAGGUGGUGAUGAAUAGAGUAAGUGUUGGGAUUUUCUUCUUCGACUUCUGGUUUCAUCUUCUCCUGCUGGAAGUUUGAUCUCCCCAAAUCACUAUUCUGAGCCUUGGGUGAUGUCUUGAGUUAUCGAUGAACGUUGGUGAUAUUUACUGAAGAAGUAAAAUUCUGGCUGAUGUUACUCACAAGAUCUAAAUCAGAGGGGGAAAAAGGUAGUGAAAGAAAGGGGUGUUCAGGCGAAGUUUUUAGAUGGCAAUGGGGACUUGCUGGUGUUUGCUGGUGAUAAGACCGUCGUCGGCGACAUAUCGAUGGCGAUGCAGUGCUUUUGUUUUCAGUUCUACCAUGUUUUGUCUUUGUUUUUUCUUCAAAAACAUGUGUGUAUGACGUGUAUCGUCUUCUACUCGUGUUGUUCUUAAUUUGUCUUAGGCUUUAAUGGGCUUUGUAGUACUCUUUGUAUUGUCUUUCCAUGAGCUUUUACUAAUAGAAAGUAAACGGACGACAAAAAAAAGAAUUUAAAACAAAAAAUAAAGUUUAA
rnacentral:lncRNA from 1 species